CUCAUUGCCUUGAAAUGGUAUCACCCACACACACAUUCUGUCGAUUGUAUGUAUUUAUGCCAUAAUCCAAUUAACGAAGAGAUGAUGCGCGAUAAGCUGUGGCGGUUUAUGGGCCGCCUCUCGUAAUAGGAUUGUAGAAGAAGGAGAAGG
ensembl:ncRNA F10E9.22 ncRNA